rnacentral:sRNA from 1 species
CGCUACCAUCUGAAUGUGACUAUCUGUGAUCUUAUCGCCUGCAAGGAUCACCUCUUCUGAGUGGCGAAAAUAAAACUCCCGUAGCCUGCAAGGGAGAGCAAGAUUGCGGUACAUCUGCGCACUUUUGGAAGCAGAUAUCGUCAGACAACAACCCUCCGUCCGGCGAUGAAAGUUACC